rnacentral:rRNA from 1 species
AUUGAACGCUGGCGGCAUGCUUUACACAUGCAAGUCGAACGGUAACAGGCCGCAAGGUGCUGACGAGUGGCGAACGGGUGAGUAAUGCAUCGGAACGUGCCCAGUCGUGGGGGAUAACUACUCGAAAGAGUAGCUAAUACCGCAUACGAUCUAUGGAUGAAAGCGGGGGACCGUAAGGCCUCGCGCGAUUGGAGCGGCCGAUGUCAGAUUAGGUAGUUGGUGGGGUAAAGGCUCACCAAGCCAACGAUCUGUAGCUGGUCUGAGAGGACGACCAGCCACACUGGGACUGAGACACGGCCAAGACUCCUGCGGGAGGCAGCAGUGGGGAAUUUUGGACAAUGGGCGCAAGCCUGAUCCAGCAAUGCCGCGUGCAGGAAGAAGGCCUUCGGGUUGUAAACUGCUUUUGUACGGAACGAAACGGCUCUGGUUAAUACCCGGGGCUAAUGACGGUACCGUAAGAAUAAGCACCGGCUAACUACGUG